GAUGAACGCUGGCGGCGUGCCUAAUACAUGCAAGUCGAGCGAACGGACGAGAAGCUUGCUUCUCUGAUGUUAGCGGCGGACGGGUGAGUAACACGUGGAUAACCUACCUAUAAGACUUGGAUAACUUCGGGAAACCGUAGCUAAUACCGGAUAAUAUUUUGAACCGCAUGGUUCAAAAGUGAAAGACGGUCUUUCUGUCACUUAUAGAUGGAUCCGCGCUGCAUUAGCUAGUUGGUAAGGUAACGGCUUACCAAGGCAACGAUGCAUAGCCGACCUGAGAGGGUGAUCGGCCACACUGGAACUGAGACACGGUCCAGACUCCUACGGGAGGCAGCAGUAGGGAAUCUUCCGCAAAGGGCGAAAGCCUGACGGAGCAACGCCGCGUGAGUGAUGAAGGUCUUCGGAUCGUAAAACUCUGUUAUUAGGGAAGAACAUAUGUGUAAGUAACUGUGCACAUCUUGACGGUACCUAAUCAGAAAGCCACGGCUAACUACGUG
rnacentral:rRNA from 1 species